AUCGCUUCUCAGCCUUUUGGCUAAGAUCAAGUGUAUUUUUAACACACUGAUGUGUUUUACAGAGCCACUUACAGAGGAACACAAUAAAUUAGUUGUCAAUAAACAGCUUGUUUUAACAAUGUUCUGCUUUCUUUCCUAUUAAAUCUAAUAGGGAAAAAAGCCUUCUGAA
ensembl:snRNA U2 U2 spliceosomal RNA